GCCAGACUCCUACGGGAGGCAGCGGUGGGGGAUAUUGCACAAUGGGGGGAACCCUGAUGCAGCGACGCCGCGUGAGGGAAGACGGUUUUCGGAUUGUAAACCUCUGUCUUUAGGGACGAAACAAAUGACGGUACCUAAAGAGGAAGCCACGGCUAACUACGUGCCAGCAGCCGCGGUAAUACGGAGGAUGCGAGCGUUAUCCGGAUUUAUUGGGUUUAAAGGGUGCGUAGGCGGGCUUUUAAGUCAGCGGUAAAAAUUCGGGGCUCAACCCCGUCCGGCCGUUGAAACUGGGGGCCUUGAGUGGGCGAGAAGAAGGCGGAAUGCGUGGUGUAGCGGUGAAAUGCAUAGAUAUCACGCAGAACCCCGAUUGCGAAGGCAGCCUUCCGGCGCCCUACUGACGCUGAGGCACGAAAGUGCGGGGAUCGAACAGGAUUAGAUACCCGUGUAUA
rnacentral:rRNA from 1 species